GAUGAACGCUGGCGGCGUGCCUAAUACAUGCAAGUCGAGCGAACAGACGAGGAGCUUGCUCCUCUGACGUUAGCGGCGGACGGGUGAGUAACACGUGGAUAACCUACCUAUAAGACUGGGAUAACUUCGGGAAACCGGAGCUAAUACCGGAUAACAUGUUGAACCGCAUGGUUCAAUAGUGAAAGACGGUUUUGCUGUCACUUCUAGAUGGAUCCGCGCCGCAUUAGCUAGUUGGUAAGGUAACGGCUUACCAAGGCAACGAUGCGUAGCCGACCUGAGAGGGUGAUCGGCCACACUGGAACUGAGACACGGUCCAGACUCCUACGGGAGGCAGCAGUAGGGAAUCUUCCGCAAUGGGCGAAAGCCUGACGGAGCAACGCCGCGUGAGUGAAGAAGGUCUUCGGAUCGUAAAACUCUGUUAUUAGGGAAGAACAAAUGUGUAAGUAACUAUGCACGUCUUGACGGUACCUAAUCAGAAAGCCACGGCUAACUACGUG
rnacentral:rRNA from 1 species